GAGUUUGAUCCUGGCUCAGGAUGAACGCUGGCGGCGUGCCUAACACAUGCAAGUCGAGCGAGAACUUUGAGAAAGAAGCUUCGGUAGAUUUUUCAAAGGGAAAGCGGCGGACGGGUGAGUAACGCGUAGGCAACCUGCCCCAUACAAAGGGAUAGCAACGGGAAACUGUUAUUAAAACCUUAUGAAGUAAAGAUGUUGCAUGACAUUUUUACCAAAGAUUUAUCGGUAUGGGAUGGGCCUGCGUCUGAUUAGUUAGUUGGUGAGGUAACGGCUCACCAAGGCGACGAUCAGUAGCCGACCUGAGAGGGUGAUCGGCCACAUUGGAACUGAGACACGGUCCAAACUCCUACGGGAGGCAGCAGUGGGGAAUAUUGCACAAUGGGCGAAAGCCUGAUGCAGCAACGCCGCGUGAACGAAGAAGGCCCUUGGGUCGUAAAGUUCUGUCCAAAGGGAAGAUAAUGACGGUACCUUUGGAGGAAGCCCCGGCUAACUACGUGCCAGCAGCCGCGGUAAUACGUAGGGGGCAAGCGUUAUCCGGAAUUAUUGGGCGUAAAGGGUACGUAGGUGGUCUUUUAAGCGCAGGGUUUAAGGCAAUGGCUUAACCAUUGUAUGCCUUGCGAACUGGAGGACUUGAGUGCAGGAGGGGAAAGCGGAAUUCCUAGUGUAGCGGUGAAAUGCGUAGAUAUUAGGAGGAACACCAGCGGCGAAGGCGGCUUUCUGGACUGUAACUGACACUGAGGUACGAAAGCGUGGGGAGCAAACAGGAUUAGAUACCCUGGUAGUCCACGCCGUAAACGAUGAGCACUAGAUGUCGGGUAGAAAUAUUCGGUAUCGCAGUUAACGCAAUAAGUGCUCCGCCUGGGGAGUACGCACGCAAGUGUGAAACUCAAAGGAAUUGACGGGGACCCGCACAAGCAGCGGAGCAUGUGGUUUAAUUCGAAGCAACGCGAAGAACCUUACCAGGACUUGACAUCCCUCUGACAGGAGUGUAAUGACUCUUUUCUACGGACAGAGGAGACAGGUGGUGCAUGGUUGUCGUCAGCUCGUGUCGUGAGAUGUUGGGUUAAGUCCCGCAACGAGCGCAACCCUUGUCUUUAGUUGCCAUCAUUAAGUUGGGCACUCUAAAGAGACUGCCGGGGACAACUCGGAGGAAGGUGGGGAUGACGUCAAAUCAUCAUGCCCCUUAUGUUCUGGGCUACACACGUGCUACAAUGGCCGGAACAAAGAGAAGCGAAAUCGUGAGGUGGAGCGAAUCUCAAAAACCGGCCCCAGUUCGGAUUGCAGGCUGCAACUCGCCUGCAUGAAGUCGGAGUUGCUAGUAAUCGCAGAUCAGGAUGCUGCGGUGAAUGCGUUCCCGGGUCUUGUACACACCGCCCGUCACACCAUGGAAGUUGGGGGCGCCCAAAGUUGGUCGGCAGAUAGACUACCUAAGGUGAAACCAAUGACUGGGGUGAAGUCGUAACAAGGUAGCCGUAUCGGAAGGUGCGGCUGGAUCACCUCCUU
rnacentral:rRNA from 1 species